rnacentral:rRNA from 1 species
GACUACCGGGGUAUCUAAUCCUGUUUGCUCCCCACGCUUUCGCGUCUCAGCGUCAAUAUCGGUCCAGGUAGCCGCCUUCGCCACCGGUGUUCCUCCUAAUAUCUACGGAUUUCACUCCUACACUAGGAAUUCCACUACCCUCUCCCGUAUUCAAGUCUCCCAGUUUCCAAUGCACUUCCCAGGUUGAGCCCGGGGCUUUCACAUCAGACUUAAAAGACCGCCUACACGCGCUUUACGCCCAAUAAUUCCGAACAACGCUCGCACCCUCCGUAUUACCGCGGCUGCUGGCACGGAGUUAGCCGGUGCUUCCUUUGAGGGUACCGUCAAGCAAUGAUGGUAUUAGCACCACUGCACUUCUUUCCCUCUGACAGAGCUUUACGACCCGAAGGCCUUCAUCACUCACGCGGCGUUGCUGCGUCAGGGUUUCCCCCAUUGCGCAAAAUUCCCCACUGCAGCCUCCCGUAGG